rnacentral:rRNA from 1 species
GCCUUAGUUGCCAGCAGUUCGGCUGGGCACUCUAAAGGGACGUGCCGGGUGUUAAACCGGAGGAAGGUGGGGAGUGACGUCAAGUCCUCAUGGCCUUAUGACCAGGGCUACACACGUACUACAAUGGCCAAUACAAAGGGCAGCGACAUCGCGAGGUGAAGCCAAUCCCAUAAAAUCGGUCUCAGUCCGGAUUGGAGUCUGCAACUCGACUCCAUGAAGUUGGAAUCGCUAGUAAUCGUGGAUCAGCAUGCCACGGUGAAUACGUUCCCGGGCCUU